rnacentral:rRNA from 1 species
ACGCUCGACACCUACGGGGAGGCAGCAGUAGGGAAUCUUCCACAAUGGGCGCAAGCCUGAUGGAGCAACACCGCGUGAGUGAAGAAGGGUUUCGGCUCGUAAAGCUCUGUUGUUGGAGAAGAACGUGCGUGAGAGUAACUGUUCACGCAGUGACGGUAUCCAACCAGAAAGUCACGGCUAACUACGUGCUAGCAGCCGCGGUAAUCUGAGCGGGCUGGCAAGGC